AUGCUGGAUGUUGUUUAAAAGAGUUAUUUAAAGACAGGCAACAAAAACUGCCGAAAUUCGUUUUAAUUUGAGCGAAAAUGGUUCUUGUACGAAGUAAUUGCUUACAUUGUCAAAAUUACGGUGAAGAAGAAGAAGAAGAGAGAGAAGAGAGAAGAGAGAAGAGAAAGAGAAGAGAGAGAAAGAGAG